CAUUGAAAUUGCUCGUAUCCUCUAUAUAAUUAUCUCAGAUAAUUGUUUAUCAUAGUUAAUAUUUAAUGAUCCUAGUAAAUAUAAUGUCUAAAUAAUAGAUAACAUCUUAUUCUUCAAGUUUAUCUCAGCACAUCGUCAUCCUUGCAGGUGGUCUACUCCCAUAAUCCAACAACUGAUGCUGAAUCAACAGUGACUCACUCCACGCACAAACUAAGGAAGCAAUUACAAGAUUUACCGACAUUUACCAAAGGGAAAAGAUAAACAGCAGCGAUUGUUUCGUAACUCGGCAAACAAUGUCAUUUUGGAAUUUCUUCUUUCAAACGAACGGCAAGCAAAAAGGUCAAGGACAAACGUUUAAAUGACUGAUCCAAGGACAAGUUGGAAUUUCACGCUUUAUUUUACCGGUCGCGAGCAAACACGAUGAAUCAUAACUCUACCGGUUAAAGGAACUAGGAUACUUUCGCUUUUCAGUGGCCUAUGCAGUUAUCGUUAAAACGGGAAAAGAAAUCAAUGGAACUGAGAUACUGUAAUCGUUCUGACAAUGAUUACAGAAUAAUACGAUGUUGCGUUGUUAAUGAAUUUUUCAAAGAGUUGCUUUCUUUGGUGUCAUUGUGGAAAGUUUAUGGCUGUCGGGUCGUUAGAAAGCUGUGUGAAGUUGGGCUUGAAGUUCAGCAAGUCUGAUACAAAUUUUUAGUUCUGCAAUUGUAAAUUUCUUGGAGUCUAAGGUUUCAAGUAGCAGCUUCCGUGGGGCAACAGUUACGAGGUGGCCCAUGGAGUUCGAGCAACGGGUCAAACGUGACGUAACAUCCGGACGACUUCUCGCGAGGUGGAAAUGCUCCAAGGGAAUCGACGAAGCGUGCAGACGCCACGCGUCGAUCGCUUCUCGCGUUCUCGCUCAGCGUCUAGCGUUUGCUGUCCCCUCCAGUGCAUUGCCACAUCGCAUUCUCGAAGAAUGAAUCACUAAGAACCUGACGUACAAAUACGCGAAAACGUGCGAUCAACGCACGCCUCUCGCCUGCCUCGAGGAAACAGCCCGGAGGAAAAGAUGCUUUCCCCUGCGAAAGCAUGUAUGUACUCCUUUUAUACCUUCGUGGAGAAAUUCGACCAUGUUGAAAUUGGUGAAAGAAAAUAUUUCUGUUGAUUAUUCUUUGGAGUCAUCAGACUCUUCGGACACUUAUGAUCCUGACGAGA